GCAGCAGGAGGAAGAUGACUGGGGCAACGAGCUCAGAUGCACACUUCUCUGGAAGUCCAGGCAGCUGGCAACAGGCAACCAAGACCCAAGACGAUGGGCUAGGUACUUCAUCUCCCGCCCCGCGCAGUAGGUUCAGUAAGCUUUGCCUCCAACAUGUGGCCUAUUAGCUCUUGACUUGUUUUCUGACUCAAGUCUGCAUGUGUUCUUAUCCAAUUCCGCAUGUGUUUCUGUUCUCUUUUGUUGAUUAUAUUACUCUUUUGUGUGACAACCCUAUUUUGCGUGUUUAAGUUAUGCCAUAUGCGAUCAUGAAUUCAUUAUUGUAGAGACUACAGAGGAACUCCAGCUUGCUUUGUUAGGAAAUUAAACCGUAGGGCAAUCACGUGUGAGUACAGUGACAUAAUAAAACUGUCAAAAAUAUACAACAACAAUGCAUCAUAUGAAUGAACACUUUGUAUUUGCAUUUUGUUGUAACUAGAAGUUCAGUAACUAAAAGGUAAACCCACAAUUGACAUGUCAUUGCUUUAGUUGGCCAAAAGAGACAUGUUUCUGAAAAUACAUUCAUCAAGUUCUUUAUUGCCUAUAAAUACCACCUGUAAGUAUUCCAUCUUCAUUUCAUAAAUUCACUAUUUGGACCAUUAAGCACAGACAAGAAUCAAUUCGGAAUAUGGACCUUUAAGCACAAACAUAAAUUAUGUGUACCAAUCGAAUAUUUUUCUGGUACAAGAUUGCCCUCUAUGGCCUGAUAUCUGCAAAUAUUUCUCAAAGACAUGAAUGAGUUGAUGCUGCCUUAUCCCACGUCGGUGCAGUCUACUCUUUGGUUGGUGUCGAGCCACAGUUCCGAUGCCUUGCUGCUCAGGUCGGGAGAAGUCGCGGUAGUGCACACACUGUCGUUUGUUGCUGGGAUCAACAUACUACUAUAGUGAAUUUAUGGUAUGACUUCUACACACUGUAUUCAUGGUCGAGAAUCUGAAUUUUGUGUUUACUAUGGGAAGAGCCACGAGAACAGAUUAUAUGCAUGAUUCAUGUAUAUUAAGGACCUACCGGUUUCAUUCUUUGGUGUAUGUAUGGUUAAAUGCAGGUUUGGUAUUAUGUUCAUUCAAAUUUUUUUGCGUCUCAGGCACGCAUGCUAUUAGUAGGCUUGUAGCUUUUCCAUGCUUCAACUUAUAAUAUGCAGUGUAGAUUGAUGAUGUCAAGUUGGACACUUAUAUAUUUGAACUUCAAUUAUAUAUAGGCUUCUAUCUUGCAUGGAUGCCUAGGUGGCUGUUGUUGUCGCCUUCAUGCCCACAAGAGCUUGUUUGUCGCCGAGGUCGCCAGGCAAAAGUGUCCUUUUCUGCUUCGAGCUGCUUUGACCGGUGGCACACUUCAGUGAUAAUGCUCUCACCUCAUGGACAACACAGUCGUGGGACUCGUGUUUGCUGGCGGAAAGGUGGAGCAAGAGGUCUCUGAAGCUGCAGCAGAACGAGUCUGUAGAGACGGUGUUGAAUUUUAUCAAGGUUUUUUCAUUUGUUUUGAACCAUCCAGGAGAGACAAGGUUGCUUCAUUUGCAAGCUCAAAACGCUUUAUGAUUGUAUUCUGCUUCUCUACCCAGUUCAUUGAACCUAUGAAAUUGGUUGUCGGUGUUUGAUCCCAUUAGUAGUAUGAUCAAUUUUGUUUUGAGACAUGCAGUCCCCAAAUCCAACACUCCCCACGAUCCGACGAAUGGGAGAGGGAAGCUGAGCAAUGGCCGCACCACUGUAGACAAACAGCUUAACAAUGAG
rnacentral:lncRNA from 1 species